CUGGAAGUCACCAAAAAUAGAGAACAAGAAAGUUGGGCAAAAGGAAGAGGAAAGGAGAUAUUUGUGUGGACUGACAAUAUAAAACUUUUGCUUCAGAAUACAAGUCCCGAUGAUGCCAAGGUGGACCGGCAUGGUAUCCCCCUGACACCAAACAAACUCAACCGCCUGCCAUUCUUCUCCCAGCCCACAAAAAUAACAUCAUCGUCAAAUUCGCUGAUGACACAACAGUGGUCAGUCUGAUCACAAAAGGAUCACCCUAGAAGAGAGGAGGUCCAGAAGCUCACAACCUGGUGUACAGACAACAAUCUGGCACUGAACACUCUAAAAACAAAAAUCAUUGUGGACUUCAGGAGGAACAGAAGUAUACCAGCUGCGCUCCUCAUUAACGCCAAGCAUGUGGAGAGAGUUCGCACAUUCAGGUUCCUGGGACUCCUGAUUUUUGAGGACCUCUCCUGAACAGACAACAUCACAGCAGCCAUUAAAAAGCUUCAACAGCAUCAUCACUUCCUGAGAGUCCACAGGAAGAAUAACCAGGACACAAGGAGCUGCAUUGAGGCAGACAGAGCAACGCUUCAGGGCUCAAUCAAAGCAGCACAGAAGAUCGUUGGCUGCCCUCUGCCCUACAUGCCAGACAUUUAUUCCUCUCAGUGCCUCAGCAGAGCUCAGAACAUUAUUAAGGACACUACACAUCCUGGCUAUCAACUGUUUGAGCUCCUGCCGUCUGGAAGGUAUUACAGAUGUGCAAAAACAAGGACCAAUAGACUAAGUAUUUUCCGAGAGCCAUUUUCUACCUCGAUCUCUCAUCUUUCCUCUAGCCACACUAUUAAUGCAAAGGUACACUGAUCUCGAUAUCUUGAGCAAUGCUUUUUAUGCACUGUUUUACUCGUGUAUUUUUAUUUAUUUGUGUUAUUUUUAUUCUUACUUUUAUAUUGACUUUAUAUAUACACUGACACAGGAGAGGCUCUCCUGUUUUGUUGUACACUCAUAUAAUGACAAUAAAUGGCAUUAAUUAAUUAAUUAAUUAAUUCAUUCAUUCAUUCAUUUAUACAUACAUACACCAUGGUAUCAUGGGUGCUCCAGAGGAACGAUUGUUCAGAUUUGAAUUUUAUCCUCCUGUUGAGUCGUACAGAAAGUUUUAACGUGUGACAUGUUUUUUUAACUAAAGAAUCCACAUUUGUGUCAUUCGGAUUUUCUUAUUCUUUGUUUAGUAGUUUUCUCUCUCUUUCUCUCUUUGAGGUAGUUUGUACUGUUACUUUGACCAUCGUCAUCAUAUCUUUGUGUUAGUAUGUCACAUUUUCGUCCUCUUUCUGUUCAGCAAAUCUGUCAAUUCUUCAAUCUUUUGUAUGCAUGUCAAAUAUUGCGCGUGUCUGCCUGACUACAGUUUGGAAGUGUUUGAAAUGCUAUUAAAGUGUUUUGGGAUCAUAGUUUGGGGUAUGUUUAUGGUUUAAUCAAUUGAUAUAAAAAAUUGUAUGUGCUUUUAGGGGACUGUCAAUCAUUUGCGGAAAUUCACGUUUUAC